rfam:Ktedonobacter racemifer DSM 44963 strain SOSP1-21 Krac_Contig204, whole genome shotgun sequence.
GAGAGCCGUAUGCCGUGAGAAGCGGCACGUACCGGUUCGGAGAGAGGGGUACGGGCGACCCAGUAAUGGGCGACCGGCCCCUACUCUAC